rnacentral:rRNA from 1 species
AUGCCGGAGGCGGUGAUGGGCGCCAUGAUGCGCGCUGCGGAGGAGUUCUUUGCACUUACAGCGGAUGAGAAGAUGGCGUACUACUCGAACGACCGAAAGAAGCUCCCGCGGUUCCACACGAGCCUCCGGAACGGCACCGGAGAGGAGGUCCUGUACUGGCGGGACUGCCUCAAGCUCGGCUGCCACCCUCCGGAGUGGUCGGACAAGCCGCGCGGGCUCGGGGCGGCGCUGGAGCCGUACACGGCCGCCGUGAGGGCAGCGGCGCGGCGCGUUCUGCGCCUCGCCGCUGUCGGGCUUGGGCUCGAGGAGGAACACUUCGAGGGGUCGCUCAGCGGCGGUGGGAUGAUGAACGUGAACCACUACCCGCCGUGCCCGGACCUGAGCCUCACCCUUGGCGCCGGGCCGCACUGCGACCCCGGCCUCGUCACCGUGCUCAUGGAGAACGUCGGCGGCGGCUUACAGAUACUUCUCCACGGCGACGGUGACGCUGCCGGGGGCGGGAUGAUGUGGGUGGACGUCGACGCCGCGCCGGGGGCGCUGGUCCUCAACUUUGGGCAUCAGAUGCAGGUGGUGAGCAACGGGCGCCUACGCAGUGCCGAGCACCGCGUGGUCACCAGCGCGCGUGCCGGCCGGACCUCGCUGGCCACGUUCGUGUGGCCCGAGCCGGGGUGCACUGUCACGCCGGCGCAGGAGCUGGUGCUGGCCGCAGGCGAGGGGCCUCUAUACAAGCCCCACUCCUACGGCGAAUUUCUCGGUGUGUACCUUGCCGAGGGUGGGGUCAAGGAAUCCGCCAUGGCGCAUCUCAAGCACUGA